UACGUAGGGGGCAAGCGUUGUCCGGAUUCAUUGGGCGUAAAGAGCUCGUAGGCGGUUCGGCAAGUCGGGUGUGAAAACUCCAGGCUCAACCUGGAGACGCCACCCGAUACUGCUGUGACUUGAGUCCGGUAGGGGACCACGGAAUUCCUGGUGUAGCGGUGAAAUGCGCAGAUAUCAGGAAGAACACCCGUGGCGAAGGCGGUUCUCUGGGACGGUACUGACGCUGAGACGCGAAAGCGUGGGGAGCGAACAGG
rnacentral:rRNA from 1 species